GGGAAUGUGGCUUAGUGGUAGAGAGCUUGCCUAGCAUGCAUGAAGUCCUGGGUUCAAUUCCUCAGUACCA
rnacentral:tRNA from 1 species